AUGACUGGGGGGUCAUGGUGGCCCCCAGCUUCCUCUCAUGGGGUCCCUUGUGAUGAAACCAGGCCCACCUGGAUAAUGCAGGAUGAUCUCUCAUCUCAAGAUCCUGACUCAGUCACAUUUUCAGAGUCCCUUUUGCCAUCCAAGGGCUAUCUGGAUGGACAUGAGGCUUCCAUCCUAGGAUACACACGGUCGGCUUACAGAGCAAGAGAAAGGAAGGACAAGGCUCAGGUGAGAGGGAGGAUGACACUCAGGCUAUGGCUGCUGUGGUCAGUGUUUACAAUGACUCUGGGCUGCAGAGAGCUCUCUAAGGCUUUGGCGUUAAUGUCUAGCUUCUGAAGACAGAUUGCCAAUUGCAGUCCCAGCAUCUAAUUAAUCAUUGGAGGAUGGAGUGGCUUGGGUUGUGGGGUCUAGAAGAACUGAGUUUGAAGCCUGCCCUGUCACUCUCUGCUUGUGUGAUAUUGGACAGGUCGCUUAAUCUCUCUGGGCUUUAGCUUCCUUAUCUGUAAAAUGGAGAUGAACAUAUCUAGCUCUCAUGGG
rnacentral:lncRNA from 13 species